rnacentral:rRNA from 1 species
AGCGGCACAAGCUCAGAUUUGAAAUCUGGCCCUUUCAGGGUCCGAGUUGUAGUCUGCAGAGGGUGCUUUGGCAUAGGCGGCGGUCUAAGUUCCUUGGAACAGGACAUCACAGAGGGUGAGAAUCCCGUACGUGGCAGCCUGCCUUUGCCGUGUAAAGCCCCUUCGACGAGUCGAGUUGUUUGGGAAUGCAGCUCAAAAUGGGAGGUAAAUUUCUUCUAAAGCUAAGUACUGGCCAGAGACCGAUAGCGCACAAGUAGAGUGAUCGAAAGAUGAAAAGCACUUUGGAAAGAGAGUCAAAUAGCACGUGAAAUUGUUGAAAGGGAAGCGCUUGCUGCCAGACUUGUCUGCAGUUGCUCAUCUGGGCUCUUGCCCGGUGCACUCUUCUGCAGCCAGGCCAGCAUCAGUUUGGGCGGUUGGAUAAAGGCCUCUGUCACGUACCACCCUUCGGGGUGGCCUUAUAGGGGAGGCGUAAUGCAACCAGCCCGGACUGAGGUCCGCGCAUCUGCUAGGAUGCUGGCGUAAUGGCAGUAAGCGGCCCGUCUUGAAACACGGACCAAGGAGUCUAACAUCUAUGCGAGUGUUUGGGUGUCAAGCCCGGGCGCGUAAUGAAAGUGAACGGAGGUGGGAACCCUUUGGGUGCACCAUCGACCGAUCCUGAUGUCUUCGGAUGGAUUUGAGUAAGAGCAUAGCUGUUGGGACCCGAAAGAUGGUGAACUAUGCUUGAAUAGGGUGAAGUCAGAGGAAACUCUGAUGGAGGCUCGCAGCGGUUCUGACGUGCAAAUCGAUCGUCAAAUUUGGGCAUAGG